CGCCUGUUUAUCAAAAACAUGUCUUUUUGUUAAUUAUUUAAGGUUUGGCCUGCUCCAUGAAUAUAAUUAAAUAGCCGCAGUAUUUUGACUGUGCAAAGGUAGCAUAAUCAUUAGUUUUUUAAUUGAAAGCUGGAAUGAAGGGUUGGAUGAGAAAGUUUCUGUCUCAGUAUUAUUUUUAUUGAAUUUUAUUUUUAAGUUAAAAAGCUUAAAUUUUAUAAAAAGACGAGAAGACCCUAUAGAGUUUAAUAAAUUUUUAUUACAGUUAUUUGUAGGCUUUAAUUUAAUUGUUUUACAAUUUAUUUAGUUGGGGUGACUUAAGAAUUGAAUAAACUUCUUUUUGUAUUAACAUUGAUUUAUGAAUGAUUGAUCCUAUAGUUUAGAUUAUAAGAAUAAAUUACCUUAGGGAUAACAGCGUAAUUCUUUUAGAGAGUUCUUAUCGAUAAAAGGGAUUGCGACCUCGAUGUUGGAUUAAAGUUAAAUUUUGGUGCAAAAGCUAAGGAUUUG
rnacentral:rRNA from 1 species